rnacentral:misc_RNA from 1 species
CCAUGACAACAUGUAGGGCGAGCCAGUGGUCUCUUUGGCUUUUCUCAUCGCAAGCCCUACACCCCCCCCCACAGUGCGAUGCGUUCUGUGGUGCUCGCGUGUUUGUUUUCCUGUUGGCCUCGGAAGGCUGAUAUGAGCGAUAUGCACGCCCGCUGGUAAGCGCCUUCGCAAAACUCUUCCAUCCCUUCCGUUGCGUCCCUUUCCAUCCCGGCCUUCGCCUGCCGACGCUCAAGCAAUGAUGCAGUUUCACAUUUUCUUCUGCGCCUUUAUCGGCCCCUUCGCAUUCCCAUACACAUCGAGAGUAGCUGCAUGGAGCGGGCAGCGGAUCGCUCGAGCACACCCUUGCGAGGUGUUCGGCUCCGUCCUGUCGCAUGGCGUCUAUCCGCGGACCCCUUCAGAGGCGGGAAGACAUGACGUGAGAAAAAUAGAAGCGUUCCCUGCACGCACCUGCUAGAUGCUCUUGUCGGGUGCGUUAACUUAGCUCCCGUCGUCAACUUUUUAUUCCCGCAUGACCGUGCCCCCCUGCUGUGUUCUCUCUCUGCGUUUUCCUUCUGUGUUACAUCGCCUCCAUCGUCGUUCUCUUC